rnacentral:rRNA from 1 species
GACGAACGCUGGCGGCGUGCUUAACACAUGCAAGUCGAACGGAAAGGCCCUGCUUUUGUGGGGUGCUCGAGUGGCGAACGGGUGAGUAACACGUGAGUAACCUGCCCUUGACUUUGGGAUAACUUCAGGAAACUGGGGCUAAUACCGGAUAGGAGCUCCUGCUGCAUGGUGGGGGUUGGAAAGUUUCGGCGGUAGGGGAUGGACUCGCGGCUUAUCAGCUUGUUGGUGGGGUAGUGGCUUACCAAGGGUGUGACGGGUAGGCGGCCUGAGAGGGUGAACGGCCACAUUGGUACUGAGAGACGGCCCAGACGCCUACGGUAGGCAGCAGUGGAGAAUAUGGCGCAAUGGGCGGAAGCGUGAGACAGCAACGCCGCGAUCGGAAUGACGGCCUUCGGGGUGUAAACCGCUUUCGCCUGUGACGAAGCGGGAGUGACGGUAAUGGGUAAAGAAGCACCGGCUAACUACGUG